AUGAUAGUGCUCAAAUUGGAUUUCCAGAAAGCGUUUGACAGUGUCAGCUGGGAUGCUUUGAAGCUCAUCCUCGCAGCCAGAGGCUUUGGGAGCAGAUGGGUCAGAUGGAUACAUGAUAUCCUAUCAACUAGCUCAUCCAGGAUAAUAAUCAAUGGAACUCUUGGGGAGAGGAUCUUAUCAAGAAGUGGUUUAAGGCAGGGGGAUGCUCUAUCUCCUUACCUCUUCAUUCUGGCCGUCGAUGUCUUGCAACAGCCUUGCAAAAGGGAACACCAAGCGGGGAACCUUAUGCACCCACUUGUAGGCGAUGGCCCUUUUCCAAUCCUGCAGUACGCGGACGACACGUUGAUCUUCAUGCAAGGGGACAUCCAGCAAGCAUGA
rnacentral:rRNA from 1 species